GUAAAACCGUAGAUAAAGCAAAGUAGACAAAGGACAACAUAUUAUAGAGAAUGUAAGUCAUAGGCUGUAAGCUUACAAAUAUGCUUUUGUUGAAAUUUCACUUUGGAGGUCUUUUCUUGAAAGGGAACGAUUAGGGAAAAGCAGGUAAGCCUGUUAUAGCUUAAAAUGAGAGUGUCUAUAAUUGAGUUGUAGAUGAAGUUAAGGUGGUAACGCGGAAUUUGAUCCAUUUCGUCCUUAUG
rnacentral:ncRNA from 1 species